AUAAUUUUAUUUAAAUUAAAAAAUUUGAUUUAAAAAAAUUUUACAUAUAAAAUUUUAUAAAAAAAUAAUUAAUUUUAAAUAAAUUGUUAUAGAUCUAUGAAUUUAAAAUUAGUAGUAAUUAAUAUUAUUAUUUUAAUUUAUGUUAAAUUGUAGUUAUUUUUAAAAAUAUUAAUUAAAUUUGUGCCAGCAAUUGCGGUUAUACAAAUAAUAUAAUUAAAUUUUGAUUAAUUAAAAUUAAAAGUUUAAUUUUUUUUUAAAAUUAAUAAAUUUUUAAGUGAAAUUUAAAAUUUUAUUAUAUUUAAAAAUUAAAAAUAUUUUGAGGUUUAAAAAAUUUAAAAAAAAACUAGGAUUAGAUACCCUAUUAUUUAAAAGGUAAUUUUAUAAAAUUGAGGUAGUAAAAAUUAAUUUUUUGAAACUUAAAAAAUUUGGCGGUAUUUUAUUCUGUUUAGAGGAAUUUGUUCUAUAAUCGAUAAUCCACGAAUAUCUUACUUUUUUUUGUUUUCAGUUUAUAUAUCGUUGUCAUCAGAAUAUUUUAAAAGAAAUAAAAAAUUUUCUAAAUUUUUGAUUAAAAUUAAUGUCAAAUCAAGGUAUAAUUCAUGAAAAAGUAGAAAUGAAUUACAAUAAAGUUUAUUUAAUAAUGAAUUAAAAUUUUAAAAAUUUAUUUGAAGGUGGAUUUAAAAGUAAAUUAAUUUAUAAAAAUUAAUUGAUUAAAGUUUUAAAAUAUGUACAUAUCGCCCGUCACUCUCGUUAUAAUUAAAUUAAAUGAGGAUAAGUCGUAACAUAGUAGAUAUAUUGGAAAAUGUAUCUAGAAAU
rnacentral:ncRNA from 1 species